CCUACGGGAGGCUGCAGUGGGGAAUAUUGGACAAUGGGGGCAACCCUGAUCCAGCCAUGCCGCGUGUGUGAAGAAGGCCCUCGGGUUGUAAAGCACUUUCAAUGAGGAAGAACGCCUGGUGGUUAAUACCCAUCAGGAAAGACAUCACUCACAGAAGAAGCACCGGCUAACUCCGUGCCAGCAGCCGCGGUAAUACGGAGGGUGCGAGCGUUAAUCGGAAUUACUGGGCGUAAAGCGCGCGUAGGUGGCUUGAUAAGCCGGUUGUGAAAGCCCCGGGCUCAACCUGGGAACGGCAUCCGGAACUGUCAAGCUAGAGUGCAGGAGAGGAAGGUAGAAUUCCCGGUGUAGCGGUGAAAUGCGUAGAGAUCGGGAGGAAUACCAGUGGCGAAGGCGGCCUUCUGGACUGACACUGACACUGAGGUGCGAAAGCGUGGGUAGCAAACAGGAUUAGAUACCCUAGUAGUC
rnacentral:rRNA from 1 species